UGUUCAUCCUACUUCUAUGCAUCCUUGGGGGAAGUUUAUAUUUCGAAGCAACUUUCACAACAGUCAGCUUUUCCUUUCAGUGGCUUCCUCUUUCUUCGCGGCCCAACUCGAUCAACUCAAAAUUGUUGGGUUAUAGUUGACUCUCUAACCGGCUCUGUGUCUGAAAUGACACUGGAAGGCUUUCAUUAAGUAAUUUACGAGGAACGGAGUUAAUUGGGGGAGAGGAGUGGAACUGUCUCAGCCCGGUAACAGCAUGCGAUCUUGGGUCUUAUGAAGAUUUCAUGUACAUGUUUUAGACUGUCACGUUGUUGUUCCUAUUGCACUCAGAAUAGCACAAACACAGCUUAGAAACAAAAGCGUCAAACUGCUUGUGAAAAGGCUGCGUCCUAAAUCUAGCAGCAUUGAAAACUUAGUGUAAGUGGCUUGGCUCUUGGAUGGCUCAGCUGGGAUGAUGGCUCAGACGCAUCAUUUGACUGACGCAAAGCAUGAGUCAGCUUGGGAGAAACUUUACGGCUUUGGAGGACCUUCUCAGGGAGGGUAAGAACUCAAACAGCCUUCCUUGGGUCAUUCCUUUCUGCUACACUGUUUAUAAAAGUACAUGGAAACCGAAGUAAGGUUGCCUACAGCAUCAGACUCUAGUCGGGCCCCAUCCUUUCAGGUCCUCAGAAUCCAGGUCCAGCAGACAAGAUCUGCACAGGUCGAUGCAAGUGGACACAGGAUUACCUCUCUUCUGUUUACGUUGGUUUUAUUGUUUGAGAUCCCGUAGUCCAGGCUGGCCUUGAACUAGAUAUACAGCUAAGUAAAGGAUGAUCAUCCUGCCCUCCCCACCUCCCAAGAGCUGGGAUGGCAAGUGUGCACCUCCAUUCCUCGUUUAUUCAGCGCUGGGGCGUCAAUCCAGGACAACGCGCUUGCUAGGCAACAUGUAUGCUAAGCAAGCUCUGUACUGACUGAGCUACACCCCAGCCCUCUCUAUCCACUUUCUUUUUCUUUUUCUUUUUCUUUUUUAACCAUCUGGAGAAACAAGUUGGGGAAUAAAUUACAUAGGGAUUUGGAAAUAAAAAGAAUAAAUAUAUGUGCCAGAACCAUUUUUAAUACUGAAGAUUUUUAAAUGUAGCUGACAAUGUUAUUAAAAUGUUACUGUACCGA